CAUCGAUUUGAUUAUGGUUACCUCUUGCGUUGCCUACGGAUGUGCGAACAGGCUGAAGAAGGGUUGUGGCCUCACGUUUCACCUGUUUCCAAAAGAUCCGGAGCUGCGGAGCCUGUGGGAGCGGGCUGUUCACCGUGAAAGGUGGCAUGCGAAAGAUGGAGAUCGCCUUUGCUGUGUGCAUUUCGCGCCGGAGUGCUUCGACCGCACCGGACAGACAACACGACUACGUGCGGGUAGUGUUCCUUCUGUGUUCCCUACGUUUCCGGAGCAUCUACAGAAGCCCGUGAAAAGGAAGCGUCCAGGCCGGAAGCAUGAAGACUGGUUCCAGAAACUGGAGGACCACAUCCUUGAUCUUGAUCCACUUGAUAACCAUAUUUAUAUUUUGUGCAAAAAAAUCGCUGAAGAAUAUAUAAAAGUGAGAAUACACCACAUGACGAAAGAACGAAACUGUGAACUGAUCAAAAACAAAGUGAGACCACUUUUGUCGAGGGUGAUUAUUUUCAAUCACCAGUAGGGUGUUUGUCAUGGUGUUCUUGACUGUAUGUGAGACUUUCUCCUUAAUAUCUGCUCGUUUGAACUUCCUUCUGUGUAUCAGUUGGCUGCUGGUUGAUGGUAAAUAAACGACUACAACUAGAACCACA